rnacentral:rRNA from 1 species
GAUGAACGCUGGCGGCGUGCCUAAUACAUGCAAGUCGAGCGAACAGACGAGGAGCUUGCUCCUCUGACGUUAGCGGCGGACGGGUGAGUAACACGUGGAUAACCUACCUAUAAGACUGGGAUAACUUCGGGAAACCGGAGCUAAUACCGGAUAAUAUAUUGAACCGCAUGGUUCAAUAGUGAAAGACGGUUUUGCUGUCACUUAUAGAUGGAUCCGCGCCGCAUUAGCUAGUUGGUAAGGUAACGGCUUACCAAGGCAACGAUGCGUAGCCGACCUGAGAGGGUGAUCGGCCACACUGGAACUGAGACUCGGUCCAGACUCCUACGGGAGGCAGCAGUAGGGAAUCUUCCGCAAUGGCCGAAAGCCUGACGGAGCAACGCCGCGUGAGUGAUGAAGGUCUUCGGAUCGUAAAACUCUGUUAUUAGGGAAGAACAAAUGUGUAAGUAACUAUGCACGUCUUGACGGUACCUAAUCAGAAAGCCACGGCUAACUACGUG